rnacentral:misc_RNA from 1 species
AAAUAAAAAUCGGGGUUGUUGCUGGUGGUAACGCUUCGGAACUGGAUCAUCUUUGCCUUCGGUUAAGUGACCUAAAAUUUCGGAUGAUUUUUCGAACGUAUUUAAAUUUUUUACGUACGUUUGUAUAUCGAAUAUUAGAUGUGAUCAUUUCCAUGAUUCGCGUCUAUAAUUUUUCAUC